rnacentral:rRNA from 1 species
GAUGAACGCUGGCGGCGUGCCUAAUACAUGCAAGUCGAGCGAACAGAUGAGGAGCUUGCUCCUCUGACGUUAGCGGCGGACGGGUGAGUAACACGUGGAUAACCUACCUAUAAGACUGGGAUAACUUCGGGAAACCGGAGCUAAUACCGGAUAAUAUAUUGAACCGCAUGGUUCAAUAGUGAAAGACGGUUUUGCUGUCACUUAUAGAUGGAUCCGCGCCGCAUUAGCUAGUUGGUAAGGUAACGGCUUACCAAGGCAACGAUGCGUAGCCGACCUGAGAGGGUGAUCGGCCACACUGGAACUGAGACACGGUCCAGACUCCUACUGGAGGCAGCAGUAGGGAAUCUUCCGCAAUGGGCGAAAGCCUGACGGAGCAACGCCGCGUGAGUGAUGAAGGUCUUCGGAUCGUAAAACUCUGUUAUUAGGGAAGAACAAAUGUGUAAGUAACUAUGCACGUCUUGACGGUACCUAAGCAGAAAGCCACGGCUAACUACGUG